rnacentral:lncRNA from 1 species
CGCUAGCAAUAACUUGCCUUGCCAAGUCAUUUGUUCCUGCAAGAACCUUAGUCCAGGCCUUCCUCCCUUCCUCGUACCUCGAAUACGAUGCCUCAGUCCUAAAGACCAACAAAAGUGCCAAGGCCGGUGCUGCCAACUGAUAGGGCAAAGAAGAGGCUCUCAAAAUGGGGAAAAACUCCGGUAGCCAAUGCAAUGAUACUGCUGAAUUAUAACUGGCUAUAAUUACAGCCACUGAAGUAAAUGCAAUCACUGGAGGAACCAGCGAUAAAAUCACCCGCGAACUGAGACUCGAUAAAAGAUGCCUUAAAUGCCUUAAGGAGCUUCUGUGCUGCACCCAUUUUUCAUGGUCAUAUAAGGACCUUUUCUGUUUCAUACCCCUUUCUUUCACACUGUCAGCCCAGUUGGGUAUUGCAUGAAGAAUCGACGACAGGGUCAAAGUUUCAUUCGAUGACGAAUCCGAUGGCUGUGAAGAACAAAGAAAUCUGAAAGUGAGUUUCUUGGAACUUUUGGAGGUAAAUGGUAAAUGGUGAAAGAGUGUAUGAGAGAGGGAUAGGUAUGCCUAUCAGCUGUUCACAUACCCCGAUACCAUCAUGAAAGCAAGAAAUUUUCGACUCCUGCAAUAAAAUCCAGAAAGUGUUAAAUCAUCUCGUCUAAAAAAGUUAAGAUCUCUGGUGUGGACAAGAAUUACUUCAUUUAUUUCAUCUCAGACGUGAACGGAUUCAAUUACCGUUGGAGACAUAAGAUGUGGAAUUUCUAUAAACGGGUGACUGUGUCAGUUGAAAUCAAAAUGCUUUGAUUUAUCGAGUCUAAAAUGAUAAUGAAUUAACCCUAAUCCCAACCGCAGAGCAAUAUAAACAAAACAAAAUGGGAAAAAUGCACAUACACAAAAACAAAAAAUUAUCGCAAGUUUACCAUGAAUAUGAGAGCUACAACCACUUGCCCAUCUGGGCCAUCUCAAGUUUAUUCUAAAACUCGUGAAGAAGUUUACAAUGAAGAUAACGUGCCUCUCUCAAUCUGUGCAUCAAAAAAAGGCUCACCCUAAUACCUUUAUAUAUGAAUAAUGGAGCUUACCAACAUCUGGCGCUGUGUGUCCUCCAUAUUUAACAACCAAAUGCUUUGAGAUAUGAAGUUGAUGAUGCAUUGGGGACGAUGUUUUGAACUGAGGACUACUUCUAGAUCAUCGACUUCAAGCAAAUUUUGAAGAUCCAUUGCGAUAUCUGAGCCAUAAAUAAUAUGGCACUGCAUGUAGAAAUGUAUACGAUAUACUUGUGUCUUUGACAAAAAUGUAACAAAGAUUGAUAUCUGAACUAAUACUGUGCAUGCCUCAAUUAUAAAAUGACGGGUCCUAAUUUUCAAUAAUAUCGAAAACUAAUGAAGAAAUAGAAUGCAGGCAAAGAGAAAGUGUCCUCUGAUGCACAAACUAAUUUAUUUAUAUUGGCUUCAAACACUCUCUUUACCUGUAGACCAUAUUCAUUUUUUCCAUCAAAGGCCUGGCACGAGCACAAUAUUUAGCCCUUGUUUGGCCCCAAUUAAAAUUAUAAUUCAUUUUUCUGUUUCUUCUUAUCAUCCAUACAUUUUCUAUUAAAAUAAUAUUAUACGUAAUUCCAAAACAUUUUCCUUUUAAGCCACGCAUUCUUCAAAAAACACUUUUCCAACCAUUAGAAUUUCAAUUAAUGGGGGCCAAAUGGGUGCUUAUAAGUGGGGGGCACUGAGCCUUAUACGCAAGAUUUCUCUCCUCCCAAACCAUAUUUAAACCACCUCGUCUAAAAUUGACAAACUUGUAUUUUUGGGUUGCCUACAAACACAUAUUUCUAAGAUUCUUGAGCUUUGAAAGAAAUGCACGUCAUCAUAAACGGUAGAGAUAAAAAAACAAAAAAGUUCACUUACCUUAAGGGCAACUGGAAAUGCCAUGAUAUACUGCAAAAGCGCCUUUUUGAUCAAAACAUCACUUGCACUUCCCACGCUAGCAAUAACUUGCCUUGCCAAGUCAUUUGUUCCUGCAAGAACCUUAGUCCAGGCCUUCCUCCCUUCCUCGUACCUCGAAUACGAUGCCUCAGUCCUAAAGACCAACAAAAGUGCCAAGGCCGGUGCUGCCAACUGAUAGGGCAAAGAAGAGGCUCUCAAAAUGGGGAAAAACUCCGGUAGCCAAUGCAAUGAUACUGCUGAAUUAUAACUGGCUAUAAUUACAGCCACUGAAGUAAAUGCAAUCACUGGAGGAACCAGCGAUAAAAUCACCCGCGAACUGAGACUCGAUAAAAGAUGCCUUAAAUGCCUUAAGGAGCUUCUGUGCUGCACCCAUUUUUCAUGGUCAUAUAAGGACCUUUUCUGUUUCAUACCCCUUUCUUUCACACUGUCAGCCCAGUUGGGUAUUGCAUGAAGAAUCGACGACAGGGUCAAAGUUUCAUUCGAUGACGAAUCCGAUGGCUGUGAAGAACAAAGAAAUCUGAAAGUGAGUUUCUUGGAACUUUUGGAAGGAAAUGGAUAAUGGUGAAACUUGAGGGGUAUCCUGGGAUUGAAAUCGGAAGAAUAAAAAGAGAAAUUGGCUGGAUUUUGAAUUGGGUUUUUGCGCAUGUUCAUUUUUUGAAUUCUUGAUUAGGGUUUGGAGAUUGAAGGAGAAAUAUUUAGAGGAGAAGGGGACAUGACUCUGGUUCAGACCGUAGAAGCGAAAUUCUUUAUUUUCAUUUUCGGAAUUGGAUAGGUAUUUGGAAACGGUUAAUUUGUGACUGAGGUUUUUACACACGUUUCAAUAUUAUAUGCUGCCUUUUCUUUUAUUUUUUGCUUAUUGGCACAAAAUCUCCAUAACUAAUUAUAUACAUAUCACUAUUUUUAUCAUUUGCACCACAUUUUUAAUUGUACUUAAAUUCUUAAUCUUUAACAUUAUAACACUUAUGUCAUUAACAUUUUCAUGUCAUUUUUAUUCUCAAACUCUUCAUUAGCUAACAUAUUUUAUAUUUGAUAACAACGUGCCUCUCUCAAUCUGUGCAUCAAAAAAAGGCUCACCCUAAUACCUUUAUAUAUGAAUAAUGGAGCUUACCAACAUCUGGCGCUGUGUGUCCUCCAUAUUUAACAACCAAAUGCUUUGAGAUAUGAAGUUGAUGAUGCAUUGGGGACGAUGUUUUGAACUGAGGACUACUUCUAGAUAGACAUACUAACUAAUGAAAGGUUUAAGAUAAGAAUUUAAAGAAAAAAUAAACAAAAUAAUUGCUAUAAUGAGCAAAUAUUGAAGAGAUAAGUUGCAAUAAAAUGUGAUGUAUCAAAUAAAAAUUGUGAUGACAAUAUAUCUACACAUCUCCAUAUUCUUUGGACUUAUUGUGAAAGAUAUACUUGUGUCUUUGACAAAAAUGUAACAAAGAUUGAUAUCUGAACUAAUACUGUGCAUGCCUCAAUUAUAAAAUGACGGGUCCUAAUUUUCAAUAAUAUCGAAAACUAAUGAAGAAAUAGAAUGCAGGCAAAGAGAAAGUGUCCUCUGAUGCACAAACUAAUUUAUUUAUAUUGGCUUCAAACACUCUCUUUACCUGUAGACCAUAUUCAUUUUUUCCAUCAAAGGCCUGGCACGAGCACAAUAUUUAGCCCUUGUUUGGCCCCAAUUAAAAUUAUAAUUCAUUUUUCUCUUUCUUCUUAUCAUCCGUACAUUUUCUAAUAAAAUAAUAUUAUACAUAAUUCCAAAACAUUUUCCUUUUUAGCCACGCAUUCUUCAAAAAACACUUUUCCAACCAUUAGAAUUUCAAUUAAUGGGGGCCAAAUGGGUGCUUAUAAGUGGGGGGCACUGAGCCUUAUACGCAAGAUUUCUCUCCUCCCAAACCAUAUUUAAACCACCUCGUCUAAAAUUGACAAACUUGUAUUUUUGGGAGUUAAAAUUAUACACAACUAACUUGUUACGUGUACAAUUUUUUUUUUAAAAAAAAAAUCAAAAUAUUAUGAAGAAGAUAAGAGAAGUUUGUUUAUAUGACGAAAUUAAAUAUCAUUUUCCUGAUUAUAUGCAAUUGUUGCAUACUCGUAUUCGAAAAUGAGCUUCUUACCAAUUUGUUAUAUGCAUCAAUGCUUCUAAAAUAUCUUCUUUGAAACUGUUUCUGGCCUCAGACUAAGCUCACUUACCUAUAUUAAAAGCAAACUACGAGCUAUAGUAUAAAUCAGAGGUGUUAGUAGAUCUUUUGUAAUGGCAAAACUAAUAAGAUAUUUUUGUUCGUUAGGCAAAGAAGAGGCUCUCAAAAUGGGGAAAAACUCCGGUAGCCAAUGCAAUGAUACUGCUGAAUUAUAACUGGCUAUAAUUACAGCCACUGAAGUAAAUGCAAUCACCGGAGGAACCAGCGAUAAAAUCACCCGCGAACUGAGACUCGAUAAAAGAUGCCUUAAAUGCCUUAAGGAACUUCUGUGCUCCACCCAUUUUUCAUGGUCAUAUAAGGACCUUUUCUGUUUCAUACCCCUUUCUUUCACACUGUCAGCCCAGUUGGGUAUUGCAUGAAGAAUCGACGACAG